AAUAUUUCUUACUUUUGUAUCUUAUGUGGAACGCUUGAUUCUAAAAUUAUCUUUAACUACACUGCACAGUAGCUGAAGACAGCAUGUCAAAUUUUACUUUUUUUCCAUAAGGAGAGAUAACGGGGGUCUUUACGACUCUAAGAGAAAAUUGCUUUUUUUUUAUAACCAACUAAACAGCUUCAGUCAACAUAUGUUGGUGAUCAGGGACAGAGGCUACGAACACAUUGCCAUUUUCAUGAUAGCAGCUUUUUGAUUGUAUAUUAACAAAGGUCCCAUAAGGCAUUGGCCUUUUCCCUUUGGGAAGUCAUGAAUACGAGACUAUGAAGCAUGCACGUCAGAUCUUCCUCAAUUAAUCCACCAUUAGCCUGCUUGGGAUCCACGACUCACUGCUUUUUGUAACUGUGUGCUGCUCAAAUCUAAUUAUUCUUUCUCUUUCUGUGGGUAAAAGAAAGAGAGUCCUGUGCAGAGCUAGCCUUGUAGCUGAUUUACUCUCUCUCUUUCUCUGUAUCUCUUUUUUUGUUUAUUUGCAGUGGAAACCAACAACUGGCUAAGAUCAGAACAUUUUGAUCCUUUUGUUGAAAACCUGUGUGGUUGUUUUUACCUGCAAAUUCAGGAGCUCACUGCUAUAGUGUCCAGGACUCUAUUGACGCUGCAGCCAGUCUUUUGCUCAGAGCACGCGGGCAACGCCUGCAGACUGCAUCGAUAUCCUUUUCUUGGGUUUAUUAGCACAGUAACCCAUAUAAAUCAACUGAGGACUGAGGCAAGGCAACCUUAUAAUCCAAGGCAUAUCACAGUUAAACAUCAGACGACACCCUGGCUUUGUGCUCAGUGGGAGGUUGCCUUUAAACCUGGAUUGAAAGGGAUUGCUCAGUACUCUCGGAUAGCUGCCAAUGUAACUGUACAGCCACUGCAACUGUGGACUGGAGAUGGAAAUCAGAUGGCUGGACAUUCAACAGAUCACUGUGAAAGGGAACCCUUAGAAUGCAGAUGCUUCAGAAAAACCAUUGAUGGGGCCUUUCCUUUGCGAUAAAAGGCAUCUUCAAUCAAUCUUUUCAAAACUUCCCUGUUGGCAAAUGAUUGUGGAUCUUGUGCUCUCUUUAGAUGCAUAUUGCUUCCUUCUUUAAGGCUCUCUUCGGUGACGGGUAUUCUUGGGUGGAUAAUACGGAUUACGUUGUUAUUGCUUAAGAAUACGCGUAGUCGAGGAGAGUACUUUCUUCAGCGUCUUCAAGGAGCUUAAAUCUGUUCGAUCCUAAAGGGCUGGCCUGCCUGGUUUCUUUAUACUGUGGGCAAUUACAGAUACACUAACACGAUAUUGAGGUCCAUUUAUUAAGUAACCAGACAGAAUAAGAUUUAAGCUAUAUUAUUAUUAUUAUUAUUAUUAUUAUUAUUAUUAUUAUUAUUAUUAUUAUUAUUGUAUUCUUAGUCAUGUGCAUGUAAAGAUUGUUAUUAAUAUUAUUUUUUAUUAUUUUUAGUUUAUUUCUGUUACAUAUUUUUCUACUUUUUUCCCCUAUUUUUUAAGCCCUGCUGUGUAUUUCUCCCCCACCAUGACACUUUUGUAUUUUGUGUUGAUCUCUUGACCAGCUUUUUUUUUUUUUUAACAAUUAAACAUGUUUUACCAUUCAACACAAUUUCAUUUUUGUGUUUUCUCUUGUAUUUCAAAUGUAAGUACCUUACACUAUUUUAUACUCAAAUAUUGAAAAGGAAGGAAACAAUAAUGACUGCCAUACUGCGUGGAUUUUUUUUAUGCAUUCUAUAACAUCAUAUACCAUAUGUACACAUUAUCUCUCAGUAUCUCUGUGUUUUUUAAAUUAAAUUUAUUGUCCACAGUAUCUGCUUUGGAUGUUUGCUGCAUCACAAGGGCAAUGAAACAAAAUGUCCACCAUGGUUGCGACAGCUCAAUUGAUGCAAUGAUUAGAUGACUAUUAAACAGCACAAUUAUCUGAAAUUACACAAUAAGCUCAUGUAGGCAUGCUAGACCUUUUUCAAUGUAUAAAAUACUGCAAGCAUACUUAUCAAUUUUAUUAUUUCCCAAAUCUCUCAGAAUGUGAUUAGUACAGUACAAAGUGCAAUUAAAUGUUUGUAAAUUUGAUCUUGACAUUUUUACAAAAAAAAAAAAAAUCAUAAA